GAUGAACGCUGGCGGCGUGCUUAACACAUGCAAGUCGAACGGUGAAGGCGGAACUUGCUCUGCUGGAUCAGUGGCGAGCGGGUGAGUAACACGUGAGCAAUCUGCUCCUGACUCUGGGAUAAGCGCUCGAAAGGGCGCCUAAGACUGGAUACGAGCUGCGAAGGCAUCUUCAGCAGCUGGAAAGCAUUGCGGUCAGGGAUGAGCUCGCGGCCUAUCAGCUUGUUGGUGAGGUAGUGGUUCACCAAGGGGUCGACGGGUCGGCGGCCUGAGAGGGGGACCGGGCACACGGGGACUGAGACAGGGACCAGACUGCAACAGGAGGCAACAGUGGGGAGUAUGACACAAUGAGCGCGAGCGUGAUGCGGCAACGCCGGGGGUGUGAAGACGGCCUUCUGGGUAAAAACCUCUUUUAGCAGAGAAGAAGCGGAAGUGACGGUACCUGCAGAAAAAGCGCCGGCUAACUACGUG
rnacentral:rRNA from 1 species